GAUGAAGAACGCAGCGAAAUGCGAUAAGUAGUGUGAAUUGCAGAAUUCAGUGAAUCAUCGAAUCUUUGAACGCACAUUGCGGCCAUAGGUAUUCCUUUGGCCAUGCCUGUUCGAGCGUCAUUUACACCCUCAAGCCUAGCUUGGUGUUGGGCGUCUGUCCCGCCGUUUUCGCGCGCGGACUCGCCUCAAAGUCAUUGGCGGCGGUCGUGCCGGCCCCCUCGCGCAGCACAUUUGCGCUUCUCGGAGGCCCGGCGGAUCCGCGCUCCAGCAAGACCUUUCACGACUUGACCUCGGAUCAGGUAGGGAUACCCGCUGAACUUAAGCAUAUCAAUAAGCGGAGG
rnacentral:misc_RNA from 1 species